UGAAAUUUAGUAUAGAUAAAAGAUAAUAAAAAUAAUAAAAAAUUGUUUUUAAUUUUUAACAAUAUUAAUAGCUAUUUACUGUAUUUUUGUUUGCUUAUUAGGUACCUACCGGCUACCCCACUUGGCCACUUGUACUACAAAGAAACAUUUAAAUGUCAGGAGCCAAUCGUAAUGAUCAUUAUAGAUCCAGUAGGGGAUCAUCAAAAAAUAAUAAAAUCCCUGAUCAUUGGAUGAAUUGCCCUCCUAUAGCUAUUUCAGGGAUAGCUAAUGCAUUUGUGGCAUUCAAAACACCAUUAGAUUAUAAAUAUGACAAUAAAAUAGCAAUCGAUAAGAGAUUCAAUCCUCAAAUGGUAUUUAGACAUAUGUUUUCAUAUCAGCAAAGUAUUGGUUUAUGGAUUGAUCUUACAAAUACUACAAGAUACUAUAAUACAUUUGACAUACAAAAUAUGGGAUGUGCUUAUGAAAAAAUACCUUGCGCUGGUCAUGGAGAUCUUCCUAAUCGAGAAAUAAUUGAAUUGUUUUUCAAUAUUUGUUCAAAUUUUCUAGAAAACAAUUUUUCACAGUUUAUUGGUGUUCAUUGCACUCAUGGUUUUAACCGAACAGGAUUUUUUAUAGUUUCUUAUUUAGUGGAAGUACUAAAUUUUGAUGUAGCGAGUGCGAUACAUCAUUUUGCAGCAGCUAGACCUCCUGGUAUCUACAGACAAAACUAUAUAAAUGAACUUUACAAACGGUAUGGACGGUAUUCAUAUGAAGUACCUAUCUUGGCUUCGAAACCUUAUUGGAUUCAUUAAUUUUUAAAUUGUAAGGCUAAAGGCUUUCUAUAAUUGGGAAAUUUUGGACCACAAUGGUAAAGCGUAUCUCAGAUUUAUCCUGACAUAAAAAAAAAGGAGCAGAGGAUACACAUUUUUCUGUACAAUCACAACAUCGCACUAAAAUUGAUAUCACAGAAUGAAGUUUAUUGAUUUCAUUAAAUUGAUAUUUUAUGUUUGAUCCACCUGGGCCUUCAUCAAUGGCUACCAAGAUAAAUAUUGCAGCUACGUUUAACUAAAAUGAAAAUGUAUUAAUAAAUAAAACCAUUGUAAUUAAUUAUAAAAAUUAUAUACAUACUUUUAUAA